UCCCGCAACGAGCGCAACCCUCGACCUUAGUUGCCAGCAUUCAGUUGGCCACUCUAAGGGGACUGCCGGUGAUAAGCCGAGACGAAGGUGGGGAUGACGCCAAGUCCUCAUGGCCCUUACGGGGUGGGCUACACCCGUGCCACAAUGGUGGUGACAGUGGGCAGCGAGCACGCGAGUGUGAGCUAAUCUCCAAAAUCCAUCUCAGUUCGGAUUGCACUCUGCAACUCGAGUGCAUGAAGUUGGAAUCGUUAGUAAUCGCGGAUCAGCAUGCCGCGGUGAAUACGUUCCCGGGCCUUGUACACACCGCCCGU
rnacentral:rRNA from 1 species